rnacentral:lncRNA from 1 species
AAUAUUGACGUCAUAUCAACAUUAUCGACACAAUACCAAUGUGAUAUUUAUAAAAUAUUAAUGUCGUUACUGUGAAGACAUAAAUUAAUCACUUUUAAUAGGAGAAGGGCACGUGGAUUAGAUGACCAUUUACCCUUCACGUAGUGAGUAGACCACAAAAUUACCCGAAAGAAAUAAGAUGUAGUCUACGCUAAGGUAAUUUGGGCUUUUAUGUCACUAAUGCACCAUGGACUCUCCAUGCCGCCUCUCCACAGUCUCUCCUUAGGUGUUCGGCGCACAUGCGCUCUUCCUCCAACCUAUAUGUUUUUUUUUAUUUUUAUAAAUGAUAUUUGUAGAAUCCAUUUUUAAAAUAAAUCAAUUAAAAUAAAAUUUCAACAUCUAUAGUUAGUGUUUAAUGGGAUCCACACAAUAAAAUAAUUAAAAAUUAUUGACAUCACAUUUUCUCAUGUGUCAAUUCACAUAGUAUUGACAUAUCGGUUGGAUCUUGUUCCUACCUUCAAAUUUGAUUACAUGACAUUCCACUUAGGAUUUGACAUCUCUUUUGGAGAUAUUCUAAGACAAUUAAGAUUAUGUAUACUCCCAACCUCAUAAUGUACACCUCGUGGAAUCAACCGUCUGAGACCCAUUGCAUGUUCCAAGAUUUUUUAAACCAACUCCUUGAUUUAAGAUCGGGCACAACUUUUCUCUCAUGCGCAUGACUAGGUUAAGCGACUUGGACGAUGACAUGCAGAAGACAAUAUAGCAAUCAAAUAUAAAUGUCACCUUAACAAAAUAUUGGUACUACAUAUUGACUUCACAUCAACAUUAUCGACGCUAUAUCAAUGUAAUAUCUAUAAAAUAUCAACAUUGUUACUAUAAAGACAUAAAUUAUUCACCUUUAAUCGGAGAAGGGCACGUGGAUUAGAUGACGAUUUUAUAUCACUAGCGCACCAUGCGCUCUCCGGGCCGCCUCUCCAGAGUCUCUCCUUAGGUGUUCGGCGUACUUGCACUCUUACUAACAAGGACCUUCAAGAAUACUAACUGGUAGGACUAUGGAGAUUGACCUGCAUCGUUAAAGACUGCCUAGAAUCCUCUGCAGCCUCCCCUCCCAAUUGCUUGCUAGGGUUACUGCCCAGCAUGGCCUGUAACCUCACCUCUCAACUGCCUACGAGGAGUCUCUCCUAUAAAUAACCAAGUCGAACAAGGAUAUCAGUAAUCGCUACUUACUGCUCCGAAUUCUCUCUGUUCUAAGGAGCAUGUAUGUCCAUUUUCUUUUGUUCUUUUGUAACAAAAAUAUUCUAAAUUAUUUUAUUCUACGUGGAUGAAGAUUCAAACUUGAGUAUAGUAAAUAACCUGACUAACUAGUCGGCCCAACCCACGUUUGCAAGCAUAGCAUGGCCCAUUCUUGCCUAUCCCUUUUUUCCCAAAUAUAGAAAGGAGCAUAAAAACGUUUGUUUUGUGCUUUGCCCUUGUAUGCAAGUACAUAUGUUAUUGAAGGCUCAAGAAUAUAUAGUAUAAAUUCAUAUGAAAGGGUCAUGUCACAAGACUCACAGUCCCUAUUGUUGGCCUUUUUCUAGAAUCCCUCUAAGCAAUUGGCCUUUGGCUUGUUAAUUCACACGAAAGAUAUUUAUAAGCUAGAGCUAGCUGGGCAGCAAGCCAACCCCUCAGGUGAAUUAGGACCCACAAUACAUAGCCUUUCCUAUUUCUGCAUGAGACAUUAAAUUUUUUUAAGACUUUUGCACGACCAAUAUUUCAUCGCGCAAACUCGUAUCCUUUGUCGCUCAAGGUGAUACGGGUUUUAAAACCAAAAUAACUCCUUCACAAUUUUCUCAAUGUCUUUCUCUAUUUCUUACCUCUCCUCUCUUUCCCUCACCCCAAAUCCGACCCCUCUCUCUCACACUCACUUCUCUCACUUAAUCUCUCUUCUCUAUCUCUCACUCUCACUCACUCUCUCUUCUCUAUCUCUCACUUUCACUCACUCUCUCAUCUCUCUCACUAUCUCCUCUAACUCUCUCACCCUCACUCCUCUCUCUCAUUCUCACUCACUCUCAAUCUUGCCAAAAGGUAUUUUCUCCCCAAAUUUAAAUUUUUUUUCAUUAAUAUGUGUUUUUGGAGUUAAUUAAUGGGAACUUUAAUAAAAAGGGCUUGGACAAAAUUUAAUUUAACCAAAAACCACCCUAUACUAUUAUUUAAUCAAAAGGGCUUCAUAUUUAAUUAUAAGGACAAAACUAAUCUAUUUCAGGCUCACAACUAUUAAACCCACAUGUGAUGAAUUAAAAGCCCAAAACGAAAUAAAUAUUUUUUCCAGCCCCUGCCCCUAACAGAAAUCCCAUUCUGUCAGCCAAUCUGUUAGAAUUAAACUUCUUUUUAUGUAUGAGUAUGCCACUUCCUCAUUAAUCCACCUAACAGAUAUUAAUAGGUUUGUCAUUCAAAAGCUGCCUACCUCCUCCAACAAACCAGCUUCCUCUCACCUUUCAAUAAAACCGUCUUCCGAGCUUGUAAUUGCAGCAUUUUUUCAAAAUUAUGAUCUACACCCUACUUUCCAAUAAAAAAAGGGCUGGAGAGUAGGAUGGGGUCUAACAUCUUGAGGAAGAAAGAUUAUAGAAGGUUGAGAAAGCUUCACUCUUGACAUUGAAGAACAGGGAUGAACAGGUGAAGUUCUUUCAUGUGUAAGAGAAAAUUUCUCGUUCUUAUUCUUUUUAUCAACGUAUUUUCUUCUCUCUCCAAUAUUGCAAUCAAUUCUGUGUAUGUUUCAAUUGGAAAGAAAUAAGAAAGACUGAAAAUAGUUUUAAGCCACAAUUUUGUGUUUGACACAUUGCAUGGUGAUAUUAAAAGCUUAGUUUGGUUACGAGAGGAUGGAUUAGGAAUUUAGGACACUUAUAGUGACUGAUACCUAUGGCCAAAUUUUGCGAAUUUUCAAAGAGAAUUUAAACAGCAUGUUGAUAAACUAACUUGAGUAACUACCACACAUAGAAAUUAAUUUAAUAAACUUACCAGGGAUCUUAUCAGCUAAACCAAGUGUCUGACAUAUUUCUAGUUCAUGCUUCUGCUGAGAAAUCCUUCCAAGAAACACUAAAGUCUCUCAAUGUCUUUGUGAUGCGAAGUUUUAUGAUGCUAAGGAGCUUCAAAGUCUUUGUGCGAUUGUUGCUAAGGAUGAACACACAACUGAAGUAUCCUGGGCCUUUGGUAUGACUGGUAAGGCACCUGGAAAGGUCUUUUUGCUUGUUCAUAUUUAUAUCUAAAUUUAUAAUUUGCUUAUGUUGUCUCUUUAUUUUAUUGCAUACAUAUAUGAACGGUUUCCUGAUUUACUUUGCAAAGUCGAAUGUUCCUAUUACUAGUGUUCCGUUUAAGAAAUAGUCAGUAUUUAGUUUACGAAAUAGUGAUAGUAAUAGUGUUUUGUUUAUGAAAUAGUGAUAGUACUAAUGUUCGGUUUAAGAUAUAGUCAGUGUUUAAUUUAAGAAAUAGUGUUCAUUUUAAGAAGUAGUCAAUGUUCUUUUAAGAAAUAGUGAUAGUACUAGUGUUCCGUUUGAGAAAUAAUUAGUGUUUAGUUUACGAAACAGUGAUGGUACUAGUGUUCGUUUGAUAAAUAGUCAAUGUUUAGUUUACGAAAUAGUGACAGUACUAGUGUUCCGUUUAUGAAAUAGUGAUAGUACUAAUGUUCGGUUUAAGAUAUAGUCGGGUUUAAUUUAAGAAAUAGUGUUCAUUUUAAAAAGUAGUCAAUGUUCAGUUAAGAAAUAGUGAUAGUACUAGUGUUCCGUUUGAGAAAUAAUCAGUAUUUAGUUUACAAAACAGUGAUAAUACUAGUGUUCCGUUUAAUAAAUAGUCAGUGUUUAGUUUAUGAAACAGUGAUAGUACUAGUGUUCCGUUUAAGAAAUAGUCAGUGUUUAGUUUACGAAACAGUGAUAGUACUAGUGUUCGUUUAAUAAAUAGUCAGUGUUUAGUUUACGAAAUAGUGACAGUACUUUGUUAGUAAAAAAUCAAUUAUUAGCAAAUAUAUUAUAUUACCUUGAUUGAACACGGAUACACUAUUUAUGAAAUGACUAUUUAUGAAACAUGUUUUCAUAAGAAAAUAACAAAGAACACUAGCUAUAACCCAUUUAAUAAUGAUGGAUCUUUUUACAACCUGUUUUCCAUCUCAUCUCAUCCCCUUUUUCACCUAGCUUUUGGCUGCUGUUUUGGCCUCUUUUAUGUUGUCUAUGUUGCUUGCCCUUCGGGGCUGGAGUGCUUUCUGCCUCCCUAAUUUGUUCCUUGGCAGCUCCCCUUUUUAUAUGCUCUAUUCGAUUUCAACCAAAAACUAAUGAUGGACCAUGGCUAAUAAUAACAAACUCUGCCACAUGCUACUUGUGCGCUGUAAUAUCAUAUCAUUGCUACGGUGGUUACCAAGUUCUUAAUUGAAAUUAGCACAUAGCUGACUUCCAAUCUCAGUAGAUAUGUUGAAGAAUGAAAAGUCCUUAUAUUCUGAAUGUAACCACCUACCCGAAUAAUCCAACUCAGUUUACCUCUUUAAACAACUCCACCACAAAUUUAAGGUUAUUGGACAAAUUAACACCCUUAAUACUUACAGAGCCCCCAAAUCUCAAUCAAGAAGAUCAGUAACUUCAAAUGCGUAUUUCAUUAACAAAAAACCAAAGGAAGAAUGAUUGAUUUGAAAUUAGAGAAGAAAACUGGAACCGGAAAUUGAAUAGGAAUUCCAAUUGGGAGAUUUACCUGCAAUCACGAGAUGAUCGAGGGAAUUCUUGAUCGUCUAGAACUGAGCAAGAUAGUUCGCCAUGUUCGACCUCGAUCUGUACCAGACAUAUGCAAUUGUUCAUU